rnacentral:misc_RNA from 1 species
AAAGUCGUAACAAGGUCUCCGUAGGUGAACCUGCGGAGGGAUCAUCAUAGAAAAUAUACAACUUUUAUAAGUUGCGAGAGAGGGGAUUUUUGGGGAGGUUAUAAAUUCUUGGGAGGAAAUACAUACUCUGCAUUUCUUUUUGAGAGUUUUUAAUCUUUCUGAUUUUUUCUCUUGUUUCUUAUAAAAACAAACAAACGAUCGCAACUAUAUACAUGUGAAUUGGUGUGGGGGGGAUUCUCUUUUACAGAAAAAAACAAGUGCUUGCCUGAUAUUCAAUGCCAUUGAUUUGAUGGUUGGGAAAUAAGUUAUAUACAACUUUCAACAACGGAUCUCUUGGCUCUC